rnacentral:misc_RNA from 1 species
UUAGGAUUAUAGUUCAGUUUUAAUUUAGGGUUUAUUGGGCAAAUUAUAGAGUACUUUAACAGUUUUGCUUAUAUGUCUAUUGAAAUAAAUUAGCUUUCUGCCUGUUCAUUAUUCAAGUCAGGGGUAAUUUUGUUGCUUUGCUGGGUCUUUAUUUUUAUUUUAGAGUCUUGGUUAUUGGUUUAGGAUGAUAGCAUUUCUUUUAGUUUUCUUUAUAAGUCCAAAUCCUUGUGAGCGCGAGGACUAGCUUUGGUGUCUAAUGUCUUAAAGGUUUAAGAUUAAUUUGAGUCUGCAAACACCUAGGUUCGCAGUGUUUAUCAUUAAGUCUUCAGUCAACAAAGUUUCUAACGAUUAUGUUUCUUCAAAAUGUGUGAUGCUCAAUUCAACCCUAGGUAUGCCUAUGGGACCUUGAGUGUGAGGCCCAAGGAAGUUAAGGUGUGAACUGUGAAGUCUUAAACCUUAAUUUACACUUCACAAUUCUUCUCUUCAUUUUCCAAUCCCAUCCUUUUACAAACCCUAACAUUCCACUGAAUUUCCAACUCAUUCUAUCAUUCAAAUAAAUCCCAAAUUUAGUGCCAACAACAGAUAUGCAAACUGUCCUACAUCACUUGGACAAGCAUUGGGUUCAUGUCUAUUGCAGAAAUGGUUACACUAAUUUAUUCGUAAUGCAUCUGCUAUAUUGAAAGAACCAUACCCACAUACACACGUUUCUUUGAGUUUCUAUAAUGUGUCCAACACAAAUGCAUUGAGUUAAAGUGAAGACUCAGAGCAAUAGAGGCAAGAAAUAAAUCUUAAAUCAACAAUUCCCUAGCCAAAGGCAACUCAUUUUGAAUUCAAAAGGAACCACCCCUCUUCACUCUUUCCAGCCUAUAAUUCCAUUCCCUUCACCUUCAUUCCACAUACAAAACACCUCUUCCCAUUACAUUUUGAUGUAGAACUGCUACAAAAAGAACUUGAUAUUUUUAGAAAAGACAGUUUGGGUUUGUCGAACUCAAGAAAAUUUGAAAGAUGAGAGGCAGCCUUUCAUAAAACAAAGAAAAAUUAAGCAAACAAGAUAAACUACUAGCCUCAAAGAAAAAUUAAGCAAACAAGAUAAACUACUAGCCUCACAUUAGCAGGAUCUAGGACUCAUUCUUAUCAAGAAAGCAUCACACUUUCCAAGGUUAGAAUUGCAUCGCACACGUACAACCCAAAAAUAAAAGAAUAAUCUAAUGGAAUUUUGUAGAUAGAAAUAAUAGGAUUCAAGAGAAAAGAGAACAAAAUCUAGAGAAAAGAGAGAAAUCGAGAGAAUAAUUAGAAAGAAAGGAAAGAAGCCACAGAAGAAGAAAUCAGAGAGAAAAGCUAUUCAUUCCAUAUCAGAAUCAAGAUGAGAUUACAAUGAAAGAAUUACAACUAAUAUAGCACAAUAACCACUCUUGUAAACGUGGCCUAACAACCCAACUAACUCUCCCUAGAUACCCGCCCCUACAACAGACUUCUAAACAGCUCCAACGGCAAGCUCACAACAGCUACCUCUUCUCAUGCACUUCAAGACAGCAAUGCACUGUUUCCACUUAUUCUCUCCAUAUAACACGGCAUUGUAUCAACAAAAUACUCCAUUCUUAAUGCUUUACAAGCAUAUGUACUUAUAUAAGCUCAAAAUUAAUCCGAAAACUAGGACUCGAGUUCCAUGUGAAAUUUGGAAUUCCUAGAAAAAGACUACUCCUUUGUUUGACACUUUGACUUCUAUUUUGACCAGGUUAUUAUUAUAGUACUUAAAACAGAUAAAAUUACAGAAUUCUACUGCUGCAUAUACACUGUUGAAUCCUGCAAAGACUAAUCCUCUCAUAGUUUGCAUCAUUUUUAGUAGAUUUCCAAACUAAAGUAAAAAUCCAAGCAAAUAAUUGAUCCCGUGGAAGUACUGAACCAAAUGGAUUCCCAUUAACCAAAGUAAACAAUUUAACUUAAUGCUCCAUUAGUUCCAUAGAAAACAAUAAUAACAAACUUAUCACAGUUCUAUCUGUGAACCACAAGUAUCUAGCGGACGAAUCAGCUUACCUGCUCCAUGUACCUCCACAUGACAUUCAAAGCAAGGAGAUUUCUUCCCAUGAACUCCUUCUUUAUUAAUUGAACAUCAUAAGAUCUCCCAUACUUGUCCCUAAUAAGAGUUGCAAGGUCUAUUCCACUAAAAGCGGAAUCAUCUGUACCGACAAUUCUUUCAAGAUUUUUUCUUAGCAUUUCACUAUCAACCCCUCCAGCUUCAUCUUUGGGUAAAUCCUUGUCACUCUCUUCAUUUUCAGACUCAUCUGGAUCAUGGGUAUCAUCCACUGGAAUAGAGAAGAUAGGCCUACAUUUCCUGGUAGUUAGGCGAUAACUAGUGGCAACAGAUUGAGAAUCAGAGAAAA